AAUUUGCCAAAUAGGACUCCUCUUGCAGGUUCAUACAAAAUGAGUGUGGAGCCAAGCUGCUUAAUGAGUAAGCUAGUCUAUGGAAAUCCUAUAGGAGGCUUCUAGUCUAUGGAAAUCCUACAGGAGGCUUCUAGUCUAUGGAAAUCCUAUAGGAGGCUUCUUGAAGAGUUUAAUAGAGGGGAUCUUCCCGACACAGGGAUGGAACCCGCGUCUCCUGCAUUGGUAGGCGGGUUCUUUGCCACUGAGCCACCAGGGAAGCCAGCAUUUUUGGGGGAGGACGACUCAUACUGGUUCAAACUCAUGUUGUUCAAGAGUCAACUGUUGUACUUCUUACAUUGAACUAUAAGGGACGGGGAAACGUGCCCGAGAGACGCUCACAGGGAUUUUCGCCUCUUCUCUCUCCAAAACUGUUUCGAGGAGCAAAUAACCGAGCGCAUGAGGCAGCUCUAAUGAGCCCUGUGAUUCGGUUAGGAGACUGCGCGCUGAAAGCGUCGCCCCGAGGACAACGUGACGCCCCGCCUUCCCGCCGCACUUGGGAGGUGCGCGCGCACCCGGGAAAGCGCGCCCAGGGGUGGGACCGCGGAUGUGCCCGGAGACAGCAUGGCGGCUCCGGCGUCGGGAACCCGGAGCGCAAGCCGGAGGCCCGCUACGGUGGCCCGCGGGGGCCCUUAUAGUGUUAGAACGCUGACUCCCCUUCGGCUCCUGGUGGAGCAAAGGGAAUUUCCACCCAGGGAUCAGAAGAACCCUGAGCGGUCGCGGGGCCGAACAGCCAGGACCACCAGAAGAGGACACCCCCAGCUGGCCAGAGUCGGAGGAAGAAAGAAGAGCAAGGCCAUUCAUUGAAUUUCUUCAUUCCCUCGUGAGCACCGACAAACUUCGGUUUGUUCUUGAUAGUGACUCUUUUCCGCGAUCUGUAAAGGGAAGUUCUGUUUCCGGAGAGAUAGGCUGGACUAAAUCAGUCCGUCCAACAGCUAGUUAUCAAGCGCUUACGGAGUGUAAGGCCCUGUGCUAAGUGCCCCCAGAACAAGUGCCCCUUGUCACUCGUCAUUGAGUGUUCUCCCUGGUUAGAGAAGAUGCUAUGUACUGUGGAGAUGGACAGGGCAUAUCCUAAGUCCACAGAUGCUGGCCCUGUAGGCAGGGAGGGUACAUCCUGUCUGGACGGUGACUCACUCUACAGUUGACGGGCAUGUUGCUGCCUCCUUCGGGGGUUAAAGGGCUUCCCUGGUGGCUCAGAUGGUAAAGUGUCUGCCUGCAACGCGGGAGACCUGGGUUUGAUCCCUGGGUGCGGAAGAUCCUCUGGAGAUGGAAAUGGCAACCCACUCCAGUUUUCUUGCCUAGAAAAUCCAUGGACGGCGGUCACAAAGAGUCGGACACGACUGAGCGACUUCACUCACCCCGGGGGUUAAAUGCAAUUCACCAGCCACAGGGUCGCCUCAAAGAUUAGUGUCCCAUCAAGUCCUCAAAUGAUGCUUUUGAACUGUGGUGUUGGAGAAGACUCUUGAGAGUCCCUUGGACUGCAAGAUCAAACAAGUCAAUCCCAAAGAAAACCAGUCCUGAAUAUUCAUUGGAAGGACUGAUGCUAAAGCUGAAGCUCCAAUACUUUGGCCACCUGAUGUGAAGAACUGACUCAUUUGAAAAGACCCUGAUGCUGGGAAAGAUUGAAGAUGGGAGGAGAAGGGGCCAACAGAGGAUGAGAUGGUUGGAUGGCAUCACUGACUUGAUGGACAUGAAUUUGAGUAAGCUCCAGGACUUGGUGAUGGACAGGGAAGCCUGGCAUGCUGCAGUCCAUGGGGUCGCAGAGUCAUACACAACCGAGUGACUGAACUGAAGUCUUCAAAGUUAGUUUCCAUUGUUGUCAGCUGGGUCCUCUGUAGUGGUAAUCAGCCAGCCAGUUCAGCCUUGAUGAAAGCCCAUGUAGUUGAACUCAUUCAUAGCCUCCAGCCUGUUACUGUAGCCACAGUGUAUGGUUUCUUUGAACAAGCACUGGGGGACUUGGAGGGUGGGGGAGGGAAAGCCAAUAUCCACAGUUUACAAAGACCUCCACUCCACCGAAUGCCUUCUAAGGGGUGUUUACAUGGGGCAAGAUAUCUUCAUAUUAUGUGCCCAUUCAGAAAAAUUCAUCCACAUAACUCCCCACCAGACCACCAUACCUAACCUCUAAUCUUGUUCCUUCUAAGCCCCUGAUUAACUGGUCAGCCCUUUAGCCAGUGUCCAUCAGUCCCUCGUGCUACCUCUACGCACCUACGUGGUAAGCCAGUCAUCCACUGAGAGUUCUAGCAUCUGAGACGAUUCCCCUUUGAAACUGUAUUCCCCUUUGAAACUUUUUUAAAACUGUAUCUUUUUUAUUUUUAGUUUAUCUAUUUAUUGGCUGCACUGCACAGCAUGUGGCAUGUCCCUGACCAGGGAUCAAAUUUGUGCCCCAUGCGUUGGAAGCACAGAGUCUUAACCAUUGGACGGCCAGGGACAUCCCACCACUGUCUUUUGAGAGCUGCACCCGAGCAAGGCUGUAAUACUGGCUUGUGCCAGCCGAUUAUGCAAGUGUCAGAGACUGGGUGUGGGGCAAUCCCGAGUGUGUGGGUGUGGCUUGGGAAGAGGCAAGAGUGCCAUCAAAGCAGGCGCUCUGGGACCUUCAGGCCCAGCCCUGUAGACGCGCUUUCUUUCCUCUUUCCAGUGGGAUACCUCUGUGUGCAUCCAAUUUUAUGGAUCAGAUGACACUCAAUGCAUGAAAGACAAUUCAGAUGACAGUCUGUGGCCUUCAGGGGAAGGUGCAGCCAGCCUGCCAUGAGGGAGCUGGAGCAGGAAGAACCCGACCUCACCCCAUCCCUGCCAGUGCUCCCUACUGGCUAUAUCCGCCCAAAAGACAGAGAGCCCAUUGAUGUGUCUACAUGAGCCAGCCUCUGGGGUCUCCGUGCAGGAUGAAGAGGAGAAAUUCACUGGUUGGGCUGUGAUGGCAGCCUCUAAGAUGGCCCCCACUUACCUCCACCCCCUGGAAUUCACCCCCUGUGUAGUCUUCUCCCAUAUUGUAGUAGGGCUGGUCUGUGUGACCAGUUAAAAUACAGCAGAAAUGAUAAAUGUCAUUCGUUGGUUGGGUUAUGAAAAGGCACUACAGUCUGGGUUUUAGUUGGUGUGGCAUGUAGCUUCCUGAGAUGGCCCUGGGAUCCCUGCCACCUCCUGGGAUUCAUGCCCUGGUGUACAACUCCUUUCCUGGAGUGUAGGCUGGACCAAGUGACUCGAAUCUAAGGAACAGGAUACGGCAAAAGGGGGGAAACCAAGGACCGUGGCUUCCGUCUUGCCUGCACACUCUUUUGCCUUCUUGUUC
ensembl:lncRNA